GAUGAACGCUGGCGGCGUGCCUAAUACAUGCAAGUCGAGCGAACAGACGAUGAGCUUGCUCCUCUGACGUUAGCGGCGGACGGGUGAGUAACACGUGGAUAACCUACCUAUAAUACUGGGAUAACUUCGGGAAACCGGAGCUACUACCGGAUAAUAUAUUGUACCGCAUGGUUCAAUAGUGAAUGACGGUUUUGCUGUCACUUAUAGAUGGAUCCGCGCCGCAUUAGCUAGUUGGUAAGGUAACGGCUUACCAAGGCAACGAUGCGUAGCCGACCUGAGAGGGUGAUCGGCCACACUGGAACUGAGACACGGUCCAGACUCCUACGGGAGGCAGCAGUAGGGAAUCUUCCGCAAUGGGCGAAAGCUUGACGGAGCAACGCCGUGUGAGUGAUGAAGGUCUUCGGAUCGUAAAACUCUGUUAUUAGGGAAGAAAAAAUGUGUAAGUAAAUAUGCACGUCUUGACGGUACCUAAUCAGAAAGCCACGGCUAACUACGUG
rnacentral:rRNA from 1 species